UCGAAUGUAGCAAUACAUGGGCGGACGGGUGAGUAACGCGUGAGCAAUCUGCCCAUAUCUGGGGGAUAACAGUUGGAAACGACUGAUAAUACCGCAUAACAUGGUUUGAAGGCAUCUUCUUACCAUCAAAGAUUUAUCGGAUAUGGAUGAGCUCGCGUCUGAUUAGCUUGUUGGUGAGGUAACGGCUCACCAAGGCGACGAUCAGUAGCCGGCCUGAGAGGGUGAUCGGCCACAUUGGAACUGAGACACGGUCCAAACUCCUACGGGAGGCAGCAGUGGGGAAUAUUGGGCAAUGGAGGAAACUCUGACCCAGCAACGCCGCGUGAAUGAUGAAGGUCUUCGGAUUGUAAAGUUCUUUUCUAAGGGAAGAAGAAAGUGACGGUACCUUAGGAAUAAGCCUCGGCUAACUACGUGCCAGCAGCCGCGGUAAUACGUAGGAGGCAAGCGUUAUCCGGAAUGACUGGGCGUAAAGGGUGCGUAGGUGGUUUGGCAAGUUGGUAGCGUAAUUCCGAGGCUCAACCUCGGCGCUACUACCAAAACUGUCGAACUUGAGUGCAGGAGGGGCAACUGGAAUUCCUAGUGUAGCGGUGGAAUGCGUAGAUAUUAGGAGGAACACCAGUGGCGAAGGCGAGUUGCUGGACUGUAACUGACACUGAGGCACGAAAGCGUGGGGAGCAAACAGGA
rnacentral:rRNA from 1 species